AAAAAUCAUGAACUCCUAUCUUUUGCACCAUGUGUUAUUCUUCAUUAACACUUGUAGGAAACCUUAGGACACAAGUUGUCGUAUCAACCCCUACAAGACCAGAGUUCUCAGGAUAAUUAAUUCCUAUUACAGGCACUUUCGGAUGUUAUCAUUAGAGAGGGCUUGUGUGUUUCUUUGUGCCAUGCGCAUCAUAGAGCAGGCGCAUGGCAAAGCUGUUUGCUUUCGUAGGAAUUUUGCUUCGUCCGGCCGUUGUAGACAACUCAUGGCAGAUUUGGCUCGUUUUUAUGGUACAUUAGUUAGUUUUUCUUAACAUACGGAUGUGGCAACUUUCUCUAGUAAAACAUUGUAGCACGCAAGAGUUUUUUAGUGAACAAAGUAAUAGUCAAUUCGAAUGGAUGCGAUCUCGUGUGCCUCGUGGUGAGCUGGAAAUGUUGCACUGCAACGCAUUGAUAUCGUACCGUGACUCGUAGUAUCUGAUAAUCGGGCUCUGGAAGCUCUUUCAAGUCAAUAUUGCCUUCAGGCUCUGCAGCUGAUAGACCUACUCAAAGUAGCUUCCAAUUUCCUUAUGGGACUAGUUUAUAAGCAAACAGUUGUGUCACUAAUCUAUGGAAUUCCAUGCAACGGAACAAGCUGCAUGUGAGUCUCCUCGUAACAUGCUGAUAUAUGAAUAUAUUGUAGAGGCAGUUAUCAAUGGUGGUACAGCACGCAAACAUUUCUGCUACAUAUCUUGUCUGAAAAAACGAAAUGCGCAGUUGAAAUAGGAUAUCUAUUGAGCCUAAAUUUGCUACGCACGUUACAUGAAGCCAGCUAUGAAACUUUCUGCAGUAGAGUGGUCUGAAAGCUUUACAAAUAGCCGACAUCCCGUUGUGUUUAGAGAGUAAACACAAUAGAUAUGUUUGUCACCGCAGGUCCCAUAUGCAUAACAGGUUUCUGCAAUAAGUUCGUGUGUGUGAGAGCUGAGUUUUGUGGGACUGAUUUGUAGUGAUCGACUCACAUGCAGAUUCAGAAACCCAUAAUGCAUGUGGAUGCAUACUAUUACCAACGCAAUGUGUCGCAGUGCAGGAUGCAACUUAUGUUUUAAACUGAUAAUUAGCCUCUUGCCAUUUCUGGAAAAUGGGGUUAUAUGUUUCAAGAGGCACACGAUGGUGAAGGGGAAUAUUGAGCAUGUGUACAUGUCAUCUGAUCCUUGGGGUCGGCCAGAAAGGGUUCAAGGAAUAAGAUCGUUGGGAUCUCUUGCAUCCUUGCAUCCAAGUUUUGUGUCUCUUGGCUUAUGCCUCUUUCCUGUUCCUCCAAACCCCCCUCAUCACAGCCGUCGUUGCUGUUUGGGUUAUACAUGACGGAUAAUUAUGAUAACCUUUAACUAGUGAACCUAAGCCAACUCAGCAGCCAAAGCAUUAUAAAAUAUUGUUCAGAGAGUGGUCAUCAUGAACAUAACAAUUUACCGUAAGAAAAAUUGAAGAUAAUGGAAGUUGCUGUUAAUCUGGGGCUGGGAAAUCGCUGGUAUCUUAAUGUUUAAUUGUGCAGAAAGUCUUGCAGACCAGCUGGUAAUACUUAUAAUGCAGAGUAGGUAAUCGCGAAAUGUCCGUAACUUCUAUAUUGUUGCGGUGGUGAAUUUGUAGAGUGGCAAUCGUGUAUGUCAAACCAGAGAAUUACGGUGUGUUAAGAUUCAUGUAUGCGUGUCCUUGUCUCCUUUGUUUUCCCUGGACGUCUGCUCUGUGCAUAAAAAAUGACUGGUCUUCAUUCUUUACGAGAUAGGAUGAUGGGGAUGGGAGAUUUAACUAGACCGAGCGAUGAGCAGGAGUAACCGAAACACUUAACUCCUCUGAUGUUCGAAGUUGUUAGGUUCAUUAGGGCCGUAAUAUGGAAAGGUUCUUGUGCCGAUGUCAGCGGUUCUAGAAGGCCACGAUUCUAAAUCAACAAGAUGCAUGGUUGAGAGGAAAAACCACAUAAAAAUCUGGAUAACUGGCUCUUAAUGGACUGGGGAAACGAGAAUCCCGACCUAAAUUACAAGGUACUGUCAAAAUUCCCUUGGUUUUUACGUGACAUUGGGAAAUCCUACUGGAAAAUAGUGCAAGAGUUGUCCUGAAAGUCAGCGAAAGGAGCCAAGAGUAGUGGGAUGCAAAACCAAGCCAGGGGAAUCGAUGGGAUACUAUUUUUGGAUCUAAGCCAAUCCCCGUGUACGUAGAGUAUUUGCCCCCACGGACAUCAACGUCCAAGGUGGUGGAAUGCUUGCGCUCAGCAACACCCUUUUUGUUAAGAAAACAAUUACAACAGGUCGUCGUCUACGGAAACUUCUUCACAUCAAAAAACCAGCACUGAAGUUCUUUCCGAGUCCAAGCCGCGUUUUUGCAGUGUAGAGCACACCUUUACACUCAGCACGAAUUUAAAGUGGCAGUGAGUGUGAUUGCUGCCCCUUUCGUUCACCAGAGAGACAGAUGGACUCAUGUUUACCAGACUCAAAUCAGAAAUAUAUGGAUGUCAGCGAGUUAAAUAGAUGCAAAGAAGGCCGUCUUCCUGGUAGAUGUCGAUGUUUCAUUGAAUAUGAUGAUCUCUACCUGCCUCCAUCGAAUGACUUACAUUGUUACUCUCCUAGAGACUGUUGCCCUUGUGACUUGCGCGUUGGUGAUUAUGAUCCUAUCUAUGGAAACAUCUAUUUGCCGCCCUUAAGAAAAUGCAUCCCGAUCUUCUCCAAAGAUCCAUGCGGAUACCCACCUCCCUGUAAUCCCUGCAACCCUUGCUGCCCGCCUUCAUGUCCGUCACCUCGACCUGGACAAUCACGCGGGUCCAAAAUACAAUUUUCUUUUCCACCACACUUCAAGGAAUCUACCGUCUGCCCGGAACCAAGCUGUUCAUCUUAUAUCGAGAAGUUGUCUGAUUACUCAGGUAGGAUGAGUGGAGUAGCGGCCAAACCCGCCGGCAGUAGUUCUUACGUGGAACCACGGUGUGCAACCUGCGACUGUCACAAGCGGAAAUGCUCCCCUCAACCUCGUUCAAGUUUUGAUAAUGCUCACAAUCCCGUUUUCAAGAUCCUUCAGUCGUCGAGUCCAAAGUGUAAGGAUUGCGAUUGUCAUAAGCCUAAGAACUGCAAGUUCUCUACACAGAUUUGCAAGUUUUGUCAGGGUUCAGUCCUGUGCUUCUGUGAACAAUAUACAAAGCAGCAGCAGCAGCAGCUCUUGUCUCAGGGCUCGCCCAAGUCAGUGCAAACCCCGACACUGAAACAUGACAAAGAGCGGACUGUUACGGACAGUUCAAUGGAUUUACUGCAGAAUGCAGGUUUAAAACCUGAGGUGGCAUACCCAUUGAACUACGAACAGCUGAUGAGGACUUCAAGAAUGGAAUUAGAGGUACCAUGUAAAGAAGGAUUUAAGCCAACAUCGAAGACACCAGCGAGAAAACCCCAGUCAGAAAGGACACAGCUUUGCUGCUGUGGUAAUUGGCAGUGCACUCAGCCUCGGUCUCGGAUUCGUAUUGAAUGCCCAUUCUGCAAGUGUGUACGCUCGUGCUGCUGUGGUAUGUGCAGUUGCCCUGUCUUAACUUGUCCCAGUAAGACACCACUUGCACCCGACGGCCCAACGGCACGCUUGGCACCGAUGAGCAGUGGAGUCUGGACGGAACCGAGCAAUGCUUCUCAAGUGCCAAGAUAUAAACAGGGCUCCACUUCACCAGAGAAAUGUACUUGCAAGUCAUUUUCGAAGGCUGAAUUGAGCGCGAGAGUAUGUUACUCGAGUCAACAAUCGCGGAUGAAACCAAGUCAGGAGCAAUCGCCUACUCGCAGAAGGGAACGCGUUCUUCUUUAGGGUCUUUGCCAGAUUGUGAACUCGAACAACCUUAUGGUCGAACAUGAACUGGUAUUAUGACAUGUGGCAUGAACCUGAUUCAUGAAUCUUUACAUUGAAGACUUGAUGUGAAUUGGUUAAUUGGUGAGGAAGCUACGCGCGAUAAGACAAAUGUGUGAUCUCACGAGGUGUUUGCUUGAAGUCUCGGAUAGUACUUGCCCCUCUUAAUAGGAGCGUCCAUGAUUGGUGCGGAUGAUCUGUCUGAUUCUGACGAAGAAAUUUAAUUACAGGCAAUUCGUGCAUAGAAUGCAGCCUAGUAUAGAUAGCAGGGCCUUCGCCGUUGAUGAUCUUCACAAUUCGAUAUUGAUUUCAGGCUAUGAAUGAGGGAUCCUUCUAAAAUAUAUGUUACCGAGGGUUGGAAUUAAUAUGGUAUAGUUGAUACGUUAUUAUCCCGUCUGACACGUGACGGGUUGCUAUCUAGCAAUUUGUAUAUGAAAUCAUCAAGUAAUGUGGAGCUGAAUUCUUCUGGAGAUCAGACUCUCGACUGUGGAGGUUUGUAUCCUGCUUGAUGAACAGAUGUUUAAUAGCUAGGGACAAGGUUUAGAGCACCUCCCUCUUGUAAUUAGAUUCCAACAUGUCCUUCUCAAUGCUGGGAUUGAGAAAAAAAAACUCACCAAAUCAGAGGUUGGAAGCGGGAGGCUAAGAAAUAUGUGGUAGGAUUAUGGCUGACGAUCGAAGCAAGAUAGGAAUUAAACUCUUCGAGUCGUGCACAUCGAAUAGCUGCUACUUACAGAAGAAGUAGAAACUAUUCAUUGGAAAGAAUGUUUCGGGACGUGAGAAAAUUAGAACAACGCGGGCUCCACGGCAUAGACGCAAUUGCUGAAUUGCGGAGAACGGGCGGCAACUUGGAGAGCGACAUGAUCCGUAGACUUUUCCAUGACGCUCAAUGCCAUCCUCCCGUAGCGAUGCUUUUUUAAAUAAAGAAAUGCUUUUGUA